rnacentral:misc_RNA from 1 species
CAUGUGACACCGCCAGUCACACCGGCCGGGCUGGGCCGUCAGCCAUUGAGCCAGCGAGCCCCCCGUUAAGAUGACUGUAUAUCGCUGCUCCAUCAUGUUUUCCGUCUUUCUCGCAGUCUCAGCUGUUAUGCAGCCCCCUGACUCACCACACAGUUAAAAAGUGGUCCACCAUGGAGGAGGAGACUGUCAUGGUAGCAGGGGCUUGGACCUGGCUGUGGUGCUGCUGCAGCUUCUUCACAGAUCCAUCGUUGCUGCUCUCGUGCUCUUGCCUGAGCAUUUAGAGACACAGGAGGUUGUGCUGGGCCUGGAGCAGGCUCCUCAAGGGGUGCAGUCAUAUGAGACAGAGCUCCCUCGUGGGUGACAUUGUUAGAACGACAGUUGUCACCACCAACUACCACAGUCUCCUGUGGGGUUGCUUGAGCUGUCCACCCUACUGUGUGUUCUGGAGGGAGAGAGUAACACAUGCACCACAUCCCAAGAUCAUUAAGUAAAGAGUAGCCAUUCUGCCUGUUAUCCCUGCUGCUAACAAGACUUCUUUUCAACCAUAAGCUAUCUAGUAUGGAAGAUGAAGUCAACCCAAAACUGGUUUCAAAGUAUGACGGUAGUCAUGCACAGUCUGUGGUAUAAUUGCUAGAAAAACUGGAGCUGGAAUAUAAGUUUAAAGGCAUCAGUGGCAGAGUGGUGAGUGCGAUUCUGUUGUGCAUCACUGCUGACACCUUCGCCAUAUAUCUGCAGCUGGCAGAAUCUGACAGGAAGUCUACUAAUAAGAUGAAGAAGGCACUGGUGACUGCAUUCACUGUUGAUCAGUAUGUGGUGUACGACCGGUUGUCAGCAGGAGGCUGCACAUUGGAGUCAUCAGAUGUGUACCUGGCUCCUCAGCACUGGGCAAGAUUGUUGGGCGUGAUAAAUGACAAGGUCCUCUCCUGUGCCUUUGUAUCUAGGUUGCCUGAAGAAGUUCGCCACUUGCUGAGGGCUGGGUCUUGCACGGAGGCUCUUUAUCUGGACCAGAUAUUGACUUGGGCAAGGGUAGUUAUCAAGAAUGAUCCCACCUGUGUCAUCAGAAACCAGCCCGGGUGCCAUAGUGAGACACAGCCCUUGGAUAUAAACUCAUCCUCGACAUGGAUGGCAAAAAAGCUCUCGGAGGAGUGGCAGCCAAUGAGCAGGUGAAGUAUGCUUCAGUACCGGGAGAUAUGUGAUGUGUGCAGUUGCCAACACCAUGCUGGAAGUUGAAGUGUGACUUUUGCACUAUCGAUGAUACUCAGACUAACAAUUGGACUGCAGCUUGGAGGCAAGCUGAGAACAAGGAGCAGAAUGUCCAACAGAAUUGAGUGGAGGCCUACUCUGUGCUGUGACUUAUGAAUACUUUGAGUAAGAGCUCAAGGAGUAAGUAUGGAUCAACUAAGGGCCUAAUACCACUCAUGGUAGUCAAACAACACAAGAGGAAAGUAUGUCUCACGAUAAACUUCUGGUAGCUGAAGAAAUACAUGGCAGCCUUCACAGCAAAUGGUGACAUGUGUGCAGACCGACUGCAAGAGUGGCAGAAAUUCAUCCAUGACUGACCUUGCAAAGGCUUGCCUGGAGAUCAUUCACCCAUCACUAUGGUCUUAUCAGACCAUGUGCUUGAAGGGCAAGAAGUACUUUUAAAAACAACUGGGUUUUAACCUUAAUGUGGCUCUAUUAGUGGUGAAGGCUGUCCAGAAACAUUGAUGACAUCUUUGGCUAUGAAUAUGUGGCCUGCAUGGGUGCAGGUCAAUUGGUCCCUAAGCUAUUGGUACUUGGGCCGUCUGGUCCACAAGGCAAUUGAUACUCAAGGCAGGUGGUCAUCAAGACCAAGCUACUUGAGAUCCAGGUUAAUUGGUCCUCAAACCUACUGAGCCUCUCUAUUCAUUCUUGCUCAGUGAGUCCAGAUACAUAUCCAAAGAAAUAUGUCCCACACACACACACACACUAGAAUGGACAAGAGAUUAUUUGAAGGAUAGGGAAAUGAGAACUGUGAUACAUACUCAUCUUGGGGUAAAGUAACUAGCAGAGUGCCACAAGGGUCAGUG